CUCACACACAUAUACACAAAAACUCUCACCCAAAAUACAUUUUUAAAAAUGCACUGAACUUUACCAGGCACAAACUCUCCUUGUGCUCGUUUUGGCACCUGCCUGGUUGGUGAGCAGCUCCUCUCCACUCUGCAUGUGUUGGCUACUCUCUCACACUGUCUCAAUGGGUGCUCACUGCUACCAAUAUAGCCAGCCCAGCAUGUUCUGGGUUCAGCGAGUUACAUUUGGCCUGUCUCUUUUUAAAGUGAACCCGGUACACCGUUCCAAUUAAUCAUAUGUACAGUGCCUUCAGAAAGUAUUCAAAUGGAUUAAAUGCUUUUUUUUCUCACCCAUCUACACACAAAUACCCCAUAAUGACAAUGUGAAAAUGUGUUUAAAAAUGUUAGCAAAUUUAUUGAAAAUGAACUACAGAAAUAUCUCUAACCUAAGUAUUCACACCCCUGAUUAAUACUUUGUAGAAGCACCUUUGGCAAUGAUUACAGCUGUGAAUCUUUCUGGGUUAUUGUCUUGCUGAAAGAUGAAUUCCUCGCCCAGUAUCUGUUGGAAAGAAGACAACCAGGUUUUCCUUUAUGAUUUUGACUGCUUAAAGCUGUAUUCAAUUUAUUUUUAUCCCAAAAAACUCUGUAGUCCUUGCCGAUGACAGGCAUACACAUAACAUGAUGCAGCCACCACCAUGCUGUAGAAUAUGAAGAAUGAUACUCAGUUGUGUUGUAUUUUCCCCAAACAUAACACUUUGUUUUCAGGACAAAAUGUUCAUUUUCUUUGUCACAUUUUAAGUGCCUUGUUGCAAACAGGUUUUGGAAUAUAUUCUGUUGGACAUAAGACUGAAAAAACACCAGCAAAUCAAGUGUUUUUAAUUUUUGAAAUCUCAAGUAUUCCAAUGUAUAAUAGAGAGAUAUAUGUGAUUGUGUAUAAAUGUAAGCAAGGUUUGAAAUUAUAAUAUUUUAGUCAAAUAUUAUAUCUGUUUGUGCUUCUUGCGGUCAAUUUGAAGUCUACAAAUGAUUUGUUAUUAUGUUCUGGCCACUGAAGAAAAGAUUGUUCCGCGGCUGAAUGUAGUUUAUGAUCCCUGCUGUACAGGUUUCCGUUCUCCUAUCACAACCAUUCAACUUUUUAACUGUUUUAAAGUCACCGUUGGCCUCAUGGUGAAAUCCCUGAGCAGUUUCCUUCCUCUCCGGCAACUGAGUUAGGAAGGACGCCUGUUGAUACACCUUCCAAAGCCUAUUUAAUUGGGGCGGCAGGGUAGCUUAGUGGUUAGAGCGUUGGUCUAGUAACCGAAAGGUUGCAAGUUCAAUCCCCAAGCUGACAAGGCAGUUAACCCACUGUUCCUAGGCAGUCAUUGAAUUUGUUACAUUCUUGCCUAGAUAAAUAAAGGUAAAAUAAAAUAAAAAAUAACUUCA